CUCUUUCUCUCAGCUGUCGGCCCCCGAGUUUAACGCUAUACAUCUGUCCCUCCCAGACCAUGAGAGGAUGGUUGACUUCUCUUUCCAGGUGCCGCCUUUCACUUCCUCUCACCUCGAUUUAGUUCAGGACUUUUUGUUGUUUUGCAUUUUGGGACAAGUAGGAAGACAGAAUUUCAAGGUGGACAUCGUGGAUUACAAUUGCACAAAGUAGAGCCUGGCUUCUUUGUGGAGAGUCCAGAUGCAGCUGAUUUUGUCCCUCUGGGGCUACGUGGUAUCUUCUCUCAGCACCUCUCACCUACUUUACUCUUCUCUUUGAACGCUGGAUUCCUAUAACUGUUCCAGAAUGAAAGCCUCGGCCCCAUGUCUUGACCUUCCAGUUUGAUCCGUGUAGCAAACCGUUUCCCAGUACGAGUUUUCUGGAAGAGAAUUCUGAUUUGUCAAACAUGGGUGCCAUUCAUUAGAGGGACAGUGACCAAUGACAUCCAUUACGCACGGCCAUGAAUAUUUAUCUAGUGCCUUAUCCCUGUACCAGAGAGAAUAGGAAAAGAGUUAUGAAGAGGCUUUUCUUCCACACCAGAUGACCAGUGUCCUUCCUCAGCUCAACUGAA